UUUUCGUUUAAUAGUUACAAAAUUAAAUUCUUGUAUAUUUUUCGUUUGAACAAAUUUGCUUUAAUAAAUCUGCCGAUGACUUCAGGAACGAGUAAAAUACUUGACAAGAUAAUUUAAAAUUAACUUUUGUUAACAACGCAUUGCUUUUAAAACUGACACUUGAAGCUGUGUUUUUUCGGCCGUCCAUAAAUUGUUAAUUAAAGAAAUGAUGCCAUUACAGUCAAACAGCCAUACACUCAUGCAAUACACAUACUUACCUAAGAAAUAAGAUUUAAUAGAAACAUAACUGCGUCAACGAAAA